GCGAGUAGGCAGGCGUGGAGGCUCGUGACGAAGCCUUAGGGGUAACCCUAGGUAGAACGGCCUCUAGUGUAGAUCUUAGUGGUAGUAGCAAAUACUUAAAUAAGAACUUUAAGGACUAAAGUAGGGAAAGGUUCCGUGUAAACAGUAGUUAGACACGGGUUAGUUAAUCCUAAGAGAUAGGGUAAUUCCGUUUUAAUGUCGGCGCUUACGCCGCGCCCUUAAAAGGGAAGCUAGUUAAUAUUCUAGCACCUAGAUGUAGAUUCUCCGCGGCAACGUAACUAAGAGCGGAGACCUUGGCGGGAGCCCUAAGAAGAGUUCUCUUUUCUUCUUAACGGUCUAUUACCCUGAAAUUGGUUUGUCCAGAGCUAGGGUUUAAUAGCUAGAAGAGCGCUGCACUUUUACGGCGUUUAGUGCGCUCCUAACGAGCCUUAAAAAUCCGCUUGAAGAAAUAGUUUUUACGCUAGGUUGUACUUAUAACUGUAGUAGGUCUCUAAGGUAAAAAGCCUCUAGUUAAUAGAACAAUGUAGAUAAGGGAAGUUAGCAAAAUAGAUCUGUAACUUUGGGAAAAGGAUUAGCUCUAAGGGUUGGGUACGUUAGGCCUUAGGGAAAAGCCUCUGGCGUAGAAGGGCACUAGCCGCAAGGUGGGCGCCUUUCAGCGCUAGGGUGCGGACACCCUUGGUAGGCUUCGGCCGUCUGGCGUACGUUUAACAACCAACUUAGAACUAGUACAGACAAGGGGAAUCUAACUGUCUAAUUAAAAUAUAGCAUUGCAAUAGCUAGAAAGUGGUGUUAACGUAAUGUAAUUUCUGCCUAGUGCUCUAAAUGUUAAAGCGAAGAGAUUUAACUAAGUGCGGGUAAACGGCGGGAGUAACUAUAACUCUCUUAAGGUAGCUAAAUGCCUCGUUAUCUAAUUAGUGACGCGCAUAAAUAGAUUAACGAGAUUCCUACUAUCCCUAUCUACUAUCUAGCGAAACUAUAGCUAAGGGAACGGGCUUAGCUAAAUCAGCGGGGAAAGAAGACCCUGUUAAGCUUAACUCUAGUUUAACAUUAUAAAAAGACAUAGGGGGUGUAGAAUAGGUAGGAGCUUUAGCGCUAGUAAAAUACUACUACCCUUAUCGUUUUUUUACUUAUUUAAUAAAGCGGAGCUAGGCCUCACCGCCUAACUUCUAGCGUUUAAGGUCCUUCGUAGGCUGAUCUAGGUUAAAGACAUUAUUAGGUGGGGAGUUUAGCUAGGGCGGCACAUCUAUUAAACUAUAACGUAGGUGUCCUAAGGGGGACUUAUAGAGAAUAGAAAUCUCUAGUAGAGUAAAAGGGCAAAAGUCCCCUUAAUUUUAAUUUUUAGUGUAAAUACAAACUAUAAAAGUGUAGCCUAUCAAUCCUUUAGUCCCUUAAAAUUUAAGGCUAGAGGUGCUAGAAAAGUUACUAUAGGGAUAACUAGCUUGUAGCAGCUAAGCGUUUAUAGCGACGUUGCUUUUUAAUCCUUUAAUAUUAGCUCUUCCUAUUAUACUAAAGCAGAAUUUAGUAAGCAUUAGAUUGUUCACCCACUAAUAGGGAACGUGAGCUAGGUUUAGACUAUUAUAAGACAGGUUAGUUUUACCCUACUAAUAACCUUGCCCUAAUGGUAAUACUGCUUAGUACGAGAGGAACCGCGGUUUUAGAUAAUUAGUUUUUGCAGCUGUCUAACUAGGCAUUGCCGCGAAGCUACUAUCUGCUAGAUUAUAGCUAAACGCCUCUAAGUUAGAAUCUAUGCCAGAACGGGGUGAUUUCUGCCUGCACUAGUCGGAUACGAAUAGGCCUUUGGCCCAGAACCUUACUAGAUCGGCGUUAGCAGCCCUAUUAAAGUUAGAGUUGCUAGCUAGUAUAUUGUAAUUGUAUAGUGCGCAGGAUUAAAUCCUUUAUAGACAACUUAGUUAUCUAGCUAGGUUGUGUAAGUAGUCGAGUAGCCUUGUUGUUACGAGCUACUAAGCGUAAGCCCGCCGCUAGCUUAGUUAAAAUUAGGAUAUUAU
rnacentral:rRNA from 1 species